rnacentral:rRNA from 1 species
UACGUAGGGUGCAAGCGUUGUCCGGAAUCAUUGGGCGUAAAGCGCGUGUAGGCGGCCCGGUAAGUCCGCUGUGAAAGUCGGGGGCUCAACCCUCGAAUGCCGGUGGAUACUGUCGGGCUAGAGUGCGGGAGAGGCGAGUGGAAUUCCUGGUGUAGCGGUGAAAUGCGCAGAUAUCAGGAAGAACACCCGUGGCUAAGGCGGCUCUCUAGUACGGUACUGACGCUGAAGACGCGAAAGCGUGGGGAGCGAACAGG